GCCAUGGUGUAACAUUUUAACAAUGCCUGGAUUUUGAUUGGGAAAACUUGUGAAAUCCAGAGGGGAAAAAGCAGUUAUUCUAACUUGUUUUCAAGAGAAAUAACUUGUGGCUUUUGCACAUCUUAGGAUGAAAGCAUGGCAAACCUUCCAUAAAUGUAUUAACUUCAAAAUAAGAGUAAAAAACUGAAUUAUUUGAGAUUUUAACAUUAGUUUAAAAGUUCUAGUUGGUUAAAAUAUGUUUUAAUCAUGAGAUUCUUUUUUUUGUAAAUACAUGAUCUAUAUAAAAAUUUAUUAAAAAGUGAUAAAUAUUAUAUAACUAAAUUUAUAUUCAUGUGAAUGCUUUGAAAAUGGGUUUUAAUGAUGAUCAGUGAUUGCCUAUUUCUUAAACAUUUGUAUUUUUGAAGCACUUAAAUGUGUUUUUCAUUCAGCUGAAUAAAAGAAUAUUCCUUUUUCUCUUUUUCUAGAACAAUGCCGCAGAAGAGGUUGAAGAGAACUCUGAUAAGAAAAGUGUUCAAUUUGUAUUUAAGCAAACAGUGAACGACAUUUGCAAUCAACUAAAAAUUCGUCUAUCGAAUUAGGGCUGAAAAUUUCUGUUAAAGAGUGUUGCAGUAUGUCUGGUGGCUCCCUUUUCAGGACUAGGGUUUUCUCAUGGAGUACAGUAUGUUAAUAUUUACCUAUAUAACUAAUCUGUUAACGGUUUUUGAAAAACCUAUAUUUCAAAUUACUUGAGUAGUCCUCGUAUUUUAAUUUUAACCUAAAUAAGCCUCUGAUUUUUUUUUUUUUUCUGAGGAAAGCAUUUGGUUUAUGAGUUAUUUUUCUUAAGGAAAGAAAAAUUGUAUUUUUUUUUAAAGUAUCUUCAAACUGAAUCCUUUAUGCACCAAAGUUGGUUUUGAAAAGCAAAAUAAAAUCACUUUCUUGCUUGGUGAGCAAGAAGCCAUAUGGAUUUUUUUUAACUUACAGAAAUGGAAAUAUGUGUAACUUGUUAGUAUUGUAUCAAACAAAUGUUGCAUAGAGAUAAUAGAACAUUGCCUGUAAAUAAUUCAGCAGAUUUGUAAUAUAUUUUUAUAUUAUGAAAUGUUCUGUAGAUGUUUUUCUAGAGGCAUGAAAGUUAAAUGUAUAUAUUAUGGGUAGAAAUAAUAUUGAAGGAUAUUGUAAUUCACUAGUGCUGCCAGAGGAAUUGUUAAUAAAGCACCUUCUUUAACAAUAAAUGUCUUUUGCAGACUUAAGGGACUAUGUACUACUGUUAAUAUCUAUAAGAACAAAACACAUUGAACAUCCUUCCAGAAAGUCUUUGAGGGAGGACCUAUACCCAUAAUAGAAUUAUGGCACUCAUUUCUGACAGUGACCGUGAAAUCAAUUAUUUCCUUACUGUUGGAAGGACAUAUUGUAAAGUAUGUGGUUAUAUGCAGUCAAACUGCAGAAAAUACUCCUAAUUGAGGAGUUUUCACUUUACUACAGUGAUAUAAAAACCAGCAGUUUUUACAUUAAAAUUUUUUAAAGAGAAUAGACAAAAAUAUAGAAUUAAUAAGCCUUUGGUUCCAAAAUGGGAAAGGUUCCAUGACACAUAAAUCAUUUCUCAUUUACUUUAAAAAAUUAAAAAAAUAAUAAAAAUUAUGGGAGACUUUAUUCGUUAACAAUGGGGUAAAGAGCUAUGUACAUGAAAUGAGUCAUAUAAAAUUAAAUGAAGUGCAAAUAAAAGCACUGCUACUAUGAGACAUUCUGGAAUGGUUGUUUAAUAAGGGUAUUAUUCAUAUGAUCUGUAGCAAAUGUGAUUUUAUUUUUAAAAAGAAAAGAAAAGCAGUGUGUUUUCUUACUAUUUUUUGUUUUCUUUUGCUUAAGCACUUCAUCAGUUGCUUUAUUCUGUAUCUACAAAGUAAUCUGCAAAUCUCCUUUGUUCUUUUAAGAUUUGAUUUGUUAUAAAACUGCCAAAUAGAAGUGUUCCAGAUAUAUAGUUUGUACCUGUAUUUUUUAUUUUAUUGCCUCAUGUUCUUGUAAGUCAUUCUUAAUUGACGGAUGAUUGUAGACCUUGCCUGAGUAUUUUUUCUAAUAAAACAAAGCAAAUCACACUUAGCUUCCAAAUUGUAACAAUUCAAUGCAAUUUUAAAACGACAUCUGAAAUUUAUAUCUGAUAUUUUCUUCAGGAGCACAGCAAAUAAAUUAGUUUUCUCAUUCUGUAGAAAUACUUAAGAUAUCAAAACCAAAUUUCAUGGUUAUUGAUUAGCCUCUGAGUACCCAGUCAUUCAUGAUGCUCUUGCUGCUUAGCUAACUUUGUUCUGAUACUUUUUGCCACCAAAAAUAACUGUGGAAUUAAGAUGAAGUAGUUUUAUUACUUAAUGUACACACAUACGCACAUAUGCAAUUAUGAUUGGGAAGUAAGUGUGAAAAUUUUAAUUUGUAAUGUUUCAUCUGGUGAUCACUAUCCAUCUAUAUUCUUCCUACCCCUGUUGUUCACCCUACCAUAUGACAUGCUUGUAAUAUGGCACCUGAAAUAAUUAAGAAUCCAUUGUCUUUAAGCAGCAGGCAAACUGCAGCCCACGAGCAUACCAGUUCAUUUACCUGUGACUGCUUUCCCUUGUAAUGGAUAGUUGAAUAGUGACACUUUAUUGCCUGCAAUAUUUAUUGCCUAAAAUACUUACCAUCUGACUUCUUAAGGAAAAAUUUGCCAAUCCCUGGAUAUAGUUGAUAAUGUUUUUGGAAAAAUAAACCUAGACUGCACAACUCUUUUUUUAACAUGACAGUGUUAUUUUGGUAAUAAGCCAGCACAUACAAGUUUCAGUGAAGUUGUUUAGUAUAUGUUAGAGUAAAUAUUGCCAUUAUUAGGUACAUGCAACAAAUGUUUUUUUUAAAACCUUUACAUUGAAUUUCUUAAUAGUUAUUAACAUUUCACCAUUUGUGUUUUUGUAUUUUGUUUUACUAAAUAGAACUAAAUGAGAUUUUGUAAAUCAGAUCAUGUUUAAACCAUAAGGCACAUCUGCUCUAUCUAGAAGAAUCUUGGAAGUGGAAAAUAUUGUAAAAUUUAAAGUUGUUUAUUUUUCUAAUAAACUUUUUCAUAUA
ensembl:lncRNA